CCUACGGGAGGCAGCAGUGAGGAAUAUUGGUCAAUGGGCGUAAGCCUGAACCAGCCAAGUCGCGUGAGGGAUGAAGGUUCUAUGGAUCGUAAACCUCUUUUAUAAGGGAAUAAAGUGUGGGACGUGUCCUAUCUCGUAUGUACCUUAUGAAUAAGGAUCGGCUAACUCCGUGCCAGCAGCCGCGGUAAUACGGAGGAUCCGAGCGUUAUCCGGAUUUAUUGGGUUUAAAGGGUGCGUAGGCGGCCUUUUAAGUCAGCGGUGAAAGUCUGUGGCUCAACCAGAGAAUUGCCUUUGAAACUGGGGGGCUUGAGUAUGUUAGUGGCAGGCGGAAUGCGUGGUGUAGCGGUGAAAUGCUUAGAUAUCACGCAGAACCCCGAUUGCGAAGGCAGCCUGCCAGGCCAUGACUGACGCUGAUGCACGAAAGCGUGGGGAUCAAACAGGAUUAGAUACCCUGGUAGUC
rnacentral:rRNA from 1 species